rnacentral:rRNA from 1 species
UACAGAGGGUGCAAGCGUUGCUCGGAAUUAUUGGGCGUAAAGAGCUCGUAGGCGGUUUGUCGCGUCUGCUGUGAAAACCUAAGGCUCAACCUUGGGCUUGCAGUGGGUACGGGCAGACUAGAGUGCGGUAGGGGUGACUGGAAUUCCUGGUGUAGCGGUGGAAUGCGCAGAUAUCAGGAGGAACACCGGUGGCGAAGGCGGGUCUCUGGGCCGUAACUGACGCUGAGGAGCGAAAGCCAUGGGUAGCGAACAGG